rnacentral:sRNA from 1 species
GUCGCCGCAAAAUCGGCGACCGGGAUUGGCGUCCCGACUACCAAAGGCGCAACAGCGCCCAUCGAUCGAUGCCAGGCGCUUUUUU